GCCGGUCUCGCGAAUGCCCUNAGGCUUAAUUUGAUCUGGCUCAAACAACGCGGUAAGCGUGCCUAACACAUGCAAGUCGAACGCGAAAGGGGAGCAAUCCCUGAGUAGAGUGGCAAACGGGUGAGUAACACGUGGGUGACCUGCCUUCGAGUGGGGGAUAACGUCCCGAAAGGGACGCUAAUACCGCAUAACAUCCUGCUUUUGGAAAAGUGGAGAUCAAAGCCGGGGAUCGCAAGACCUGGCGCUUGAAGAGGGGCCCGCGCCUGAUUAGCUAGUUGGUGGGGUAAUGGCUCACCAAGGCAACGAUCAGUAUCCGGCCUGAGAGGGCGGACGGACACACUGGGACUGAGACACGGCCCAGACUCCUACGGGAGGCAGCAGUGGGGAAUUGUUCGCAAUGGGCGCAAGCCUGACGACGCAACGCCGCGUGGAGGACGAAGAUCUUCGGGUCGUAAACUCCUGUCGAGCGGGAAGAACGCUUCCCGGGUGAAUAAUCCGGGGAAUUGACGGUACCGCUAAAGGAAGCCCCGGCUAACUCCGUGCCAGCAGCCGCGGUAAUACGGGGGGGGCAAAGCCGUUUGUUCGGGAAUUUACUGGGGCGUUAAAGGGCUCGUAGAGCCGGCCNAAACUUAAAGUCGGCGNAUGUGNAAAAUCCCCAAGGGCUCCACNUUGGGGGAAACUGCAUCCGGACACUGGAAUG
rnacentral:rRNA from 1 species